UUUCAUGUUUUCUUUUCUUGCAUAAAGUUUCAAUCUUUUGUUGAUUCUCAUGCCCCCAAAGUUUUCAGCUUUAUGUGUUUUAGAGUGAUUUGGUUUCUGGUUAAAGUCUCUAGCUUUUUUUUUCAACGACCACUUUUAAAAACUCAGUUUCCACAGUCUUACUUUUAAUGAUUUUGGAACUUAAGGUCCUAAUUAGGGUUUUACAUCAUGAUUAAUUUUAGGGUUUCGUUUUAAUUAAAUGAUGCAGUUGGAUGGGGGUGUUACCAGAUGGGAUUUGGGAGAAAACCAGAUCCAGAGCCAGGAAGAUGCAGAAGAACAGAUGGUAAGAAAUGGAGAUGCUCAAGAGAAGCUUACCCAGAUUCGAAGUACUGUGAAAAACACAUGCACAGAGGAAGAAACCGUGCCAGAAAAUCUCUUGAUCAGAAUCAGACAACAACAACUCCUUUAACAUCACCAUCUCUCUCAUUCACCAACAACAACAACCCAAGUCCCACCUUGUCUUCUUCUUCUUCCUCUAAUUCCUCUUCUACUACUUAUUCUGCUUCUUCUUCUUCAAUGGAUGCCUACAGUAACAGUAAUAGGUUUGGGCUUGGUGGAAGUAGUAGUAACACUAGAGGUUAUUUCAACAGCCAUUCUCUUGAUUAUCCUUAUCCUUCUACUUCACCCAAACAACAACAACAAACUCUUCAUCAUGCUUCCGCUUUGUCACUUCAUCAAAAUACUAAUUCUACUUCUCAGUUCAAUGUCUUAGCCUCUGCUACUGACCACAAAGACUUCAGGUUCUGUGAUCUUAUCUUUAGUUUCUCUUGUUGAUCUUUUAUGGAAACUUUUAUUGAUGGAUUGUUUUUUGAAUUC
rnacentral:sRNA from 1 species